UAUCUCUGUAGAGUCUGCAUAUCAAUAAGCGGAGGAAAAGAAACUAACAAGGAUUCCCCUUAGUAACGGCAAGUGAAGCGGGAAGAGCUCAAAUUUGAAAUCUUCAAGGGUUCUACCUUGACGAAUUGUAGUUUAAAGAAGUGUUUUCUGUUGGAGUUUCGGUAAAAGUUCUUUGGAAUAGGACAUCAUAGAGGGUGAGAAUCCCGUAUUUGACCGUUACUUUCAGCUGUGUGAUACACUUUCAAAGAGUCGGAUUGUUUGGGAAUGCAGUCCAAGAUGGGUGGUAAAUUUCAUCUAAAGCUAAAUAUUGGCGAGAGACCGAUAGCGAACAAGUACCGUGAGGGAAAGAUGAAAAGAACUUUGAAAAGAGAGUUAAACAGUACGUGAAAUUGUCAAAAGGGAAGCGUUUGACACCAGUGUUGUUUUUCCGAAAAUCAAUUACGAAUGGCUUGAUUUUGUGUUGUAUUGACCUUAUCAGCUUUCUUCACUUUUUUCGAGUCUUUCUUAAUGCACUUUUCGGUUAACAAGUCAACAUCAAUUUCUUUUGUUGUAAAAGAGUAUUCGGAAGGUGGCUUUCUUUUCGGAGAAAGUGUUUAUAGCCCUAUACUUCUACAAUCGGAGAGAUUGAGGUCUGCAGCGUAGAUCCUUCGGGGUUAGAUACACUUGUGCUAAGUUGUAGCUUUUCAUAGAGCAACUUGUUGACUAUGUUUAGUCAGUGCGGCUUACUCGCUUGUGCUAUUUUACCUACGCUUAGGAUGUUGACUGAUAUGUAGUCGUA
rnacentral:rRNA from 1 species